CAGUAGCCGCGGGAAUACGGAGGGUGCAAGCGUUAUCCGGAUUUAUUGGGUUUAAAGGGUCCGUAGGCGGACUUAUAAGUCAGUGGUGAAAGCCUGUCGCUUAACGAUAGAACUGCCAUUGAUACUGUAAGUCUUGAGUAUAUUUGAGGUAGCUGGAAUAAGUAGUGUAGCGGUGAAAUGCAUAGAUAUUACUUAGAACACCAAUUGCGAAGGCAGGUUACAAAGAUAUAACUGACGCUGAGGGACGAAAGCGUGGGUAGCGAACAGGAUUAGAUACCCCGGUAGUCCCUGUCUCUUAUAA
rnacentral:rRNA from 1 species